GACGAACGCUGGCGGCGUGCUUAACACAUGCAAGUCGAACGGAAAGGCCCUGCUUUUGUGGGGUGCUCGAGUGGCGAACGGGUGAGUAACACGUGAGUAACCUGCCCUUGACUUUGGGAUAACUUCAGGAAACUGGGGCUAAUACCGGAUAGGAGCUCCUGCUGCAUGGGGGGGGUUGGAAAGUUUCGGCGGUUGGGGAUGGACUCGCGGCUUAUCAGCUUGUUGGUGGGGUAGUGGCUUACCAAGGCUUUGACGGGUAGCCGGCCUGAGAGGGUGACCGGCCACAUUGGGACUGAGAGACGGACCAGACUCCUACGGGAGGCAGCAGUGGGGAAUAUUGCACAAUGGGCGGAAGCCUGAUGCAGCAACGCCGCGUGCGGGAUGACGGCCUUCGGGUUGUAAACCGCUUUCGCCUGUGACGAAGCGUGAGUGACGGUAAUGGGUAAAGAAGCAACGGCUAACUACGUG
rnacentral:rRNA from 1 species